rnacentral:rRNA from 1 species
CUCAAAGGAAUUGACGGGACCCGCACAAGCAGCGGAGCGUGUGGUUUAAUUCGUUGCUACACGAAGAACCUUACCUGGGUUUGACAUAUAGGUUGUAGGGAACUGAAAAGGGACCGACCCUUCGGGGAGCCUAUACAGGUGUUGCAUGGCUGUCGUCAGCUCGUGUCGUGAGAUGUUCGGUUAAGUCCGCUAACGAGCGCAACCCUCGUCGUAUGUUAUAUGUGUCAUACGAGACUGCCGGUAAAAGCCGGAGGAAGGUGAGGAUGAUGUCAAGUCAGCAUGACCUUUAUAUCCAGGGCUACACACACGCUACAAUGGUCUGUACAAUGGGUAGCCAAGCCGCGAGGCGGAGCCAAUCCUGAAAGCAGGCCUCAGUUCAGAUUGCAGUCUGCAACUCGACCGCAUGAAGCCGGAGUUGCUAGUAACCGCAGGUCAGCAAUACUGCGGUGAACACGUUCCCGGGUCUU